GGAGAUACAGCUCAGUUGGUAGAGAGCUUGCCUCACAUGCACGAGGCCCUGGGUUCAACUCCCAGCACCUCAA
rfam:Ictidomys tridecemlineatus contig042258, whole genome shotgun sequence.